rnacentral:rRNA from 1 species
AGCGAACGCUGGCGGCAGGCUUAACACAUGCAAGUCGAGCGGGCAUCCUUGUGGUGUCAGCGGCAGACGGGUGAGUAACGCGUGGGAACGUGCCCUUCGGUUCGCAAUAACUCAGGGAAACUUGAGCUAAUACCGGAUACUCCCUUUUGGGGAACGGUUUACUGCCAACUGAUCGUCCCGCGUCUGAUUAGCUUGUUGGUGUGGUUAUGGCUCACCACUGCGACGAUCCGUAGCUGGUCUGAGAGGAUGAUCAGCCACACUGGGACUGAGACCCGGCCCAGAAGGCAACGCCAGGCAGCAGUGUGGAAUAUUGGACAAGGGGGCCAAACCUGAUCCAGCCAUGCCGCGUGAGUGAUGUUGGGCUUAGGGAUGUGAAGAGUUUUUCUACGGGACGAUAAUGACGGUACCGGAGGAAGAAGCCCCGGCUAACUUCGUG